rnacentral:lncRNA from 1 species
UCCAUUUUCUACAGUCAAUAGUUGUAGGCUGCUGGGUCCCACGGGCCAAUUGUAUGCAAGCAACCUUCCAAUUGAAUAUUGACCGGCAAAGACAAGCGUUCAAAAAUGUUGGAAAAUGUAGAAAAAUGAACUAAAAUGGGGCUCAAACGCAAGCAUAUGUGUGGUCCAGAGAAGAAAGCGUGUCACAGGAAUAUAUUACUGUAGCAAAACCGGAUAAGUUGAAUACAGUGUGAAAAGCUAUGUGACAUAAAUGAAUAGUAGAAUCAAAGCCCCUCUUUUAAGAGGUAGUAGAUUUUGUGAAAGCUUAAGCAUCAAAGAGACCUACUGAGAUCAUGGGCACUUCUGUAGUUCCAAAUCACAACUAACAAUUAUUCUUAUCAUGUUAAUGCUUACACAUUAUGCCAUGGAAAAUAAAUGCACAGCUUUCUUAUUAUGUAAAUACAGCAGAAAAAAUUAUGAUGUUUUUUUCCAACUAUCAGUGCUACUUAUGUAACCAAAUUGAGCAGGGAAGCCACAAUUAUAGCCCCAUUAUUACAUAGUCCAUUGGAAUGUACAAUGCAAAGAAAAAAUGCAGUACCCAAUUCACGGACUGUAGCCAACACAAAUGAAAACGAAGAUAUUGUUGGGAUCAUGAUCUAAUUUACUCUAAUUGUCUUACACAAGGUUUUAAGAACUGAUUUUCCUUUAGUCAAAAUAUUCUAUUGUGGUCCAAUAAAUAACAAGUACUACUACAAAUGACCAAAGUUCUCUACAAUUCAUUCCUUUCAAAUGUCAUUAGUCAGUUUGCAAAUUAUGGAUUAACAUCAUCAAUUAUAUUUCUGUUUAGAUACUCAAGUCCUCCAUCCAUUAUCGAUGCCAAUCACAGCCAAAUCUAUACUAUACUCGCAUAUUCCUUAAAAGGGAUACCAACUACCUUGUGCUGCAAAGAGAGACGAUACAACAACUUUUGCAGGGACAACCCAAAAAUGCAAUUCAUUUCCAUGUUCAAAUCAUGCAGUCAAGUGGAUAAAAUCACCAAAAAAAUCACAAAUGCAUUGAAGAUCAAGAAAUAACCCACAAUUUCUUAAAGAAGAUUGACACUUAUCACUUUGAAGUCGCGACCGUGAACAAGCAGAGCAACAAUAUUAAAGGCUAUUGGUUGUGACUGACCAUGGACUACCGACGACCGUCGUCGGCAACUGGAAGGUUAGGGUUGGCGUCGACAAUUUGAGGGAAAUCAGGGAGGCGGGCAG